rnacentral:rRNA from 1 species
AUUGAACGCUGGCGGAAUGCUUUACACAUGCAAGUCGAACGGCAGCACGGACUUCGGUCUGGUGGCGAGUGGCGAACGGGUGAGUAAUGUAUCGGAACGUGCCCAGUCGUGGGGGAUAACGUAGUGAAAAUUACGCUAAUACCGCAUACGAUCUAUGGAUGAAAGCGGGGGAUCGCAAGACCUCGCGCGAUUGGAUCGGCCGAUAUCAGAUUAGGUAGUUGGUGGGGUAAAGGCACACCAGGCCAACGAUCUGUAGCUGGUCUGAGAGGACGACCAGCCACACUGGACCUGAGACACGGUCCAGACUCCUAAGGGAGGCAGCAGUGGUGGAUUUUGGACAAUGAGCGAAAGCACGAUCCAGCCAUUCCGCGUGCAGGAUGAAGGCCCUCGGGUUGUAAACUGCUUUUGUACAGAACGAAAAGGUUUCUACUAAUACUAGGAGCUCAUGACGGUACUGUAAGAAUAAGCACCGGCUAACUACGUGCCAGCCGCCGCCGUAA